rnacentral:rRNA from 1 species
UGCAAGUCGAGCGAAUUGAUGGGAGCUUGCUCCCUGAGAUUAGCGGCGGACGGGUGAGUAACACGUGGGUAACCUGCCUGUAAGAUUGGGAUAACUCCGGGAAACCGGAGCUAAUACCGGAUAACAUUUUGAACCGCAUGGUUCAAAAUUGAAAGAUGGUUUCGGCUAUCACUUACAGAUGGACCCGCGGCGCAUUAGCUAGUUGGUGAGGUAACGGCUCACCAAGGCAACGAUGCGUAGCCGACCUGAGAGGGUGAUCGGCCACACUGGGACUGAGACACGGCCCAGACUCCUACGGGAGGCAGCAGUAGGGAAUCUUCCGCAAUGGACGAAAGUCUGACGGAGCAACGCCGCGUGAACGAUGAAGGCCUUCGGGUCGUAAAGUUCUGUUGUUAGGGAAGAACAAGUACCAGAGUAACUGCUGGUACCUUGACGGUACCUAACCAGAAAGCCACGGCUAACUACGUGCCAGCAGCCGCGGUAAUACGUAGGUGGCAAGCGUUGUCCGGAAUUAUUGGGCGUAAAGCGCGCGCAGGUGGUUUCUUAAGUCUGAUGUGAAAGCCCACGGCUCAACCGUGGAGGGUCAUUGGAAACUGGGGAACUUGAGUGCAGAAGAGGAAAGUGGAAUUCCAAGUGUAGCGGUGAAAUGCGUAGAGAUUUGGAGGAACACCAGUGGCGAAUGCGACUUUCUGGUCUGUAACUGACACUGAGGCGCGAAAGCGUGGGGAGCGAACAGGAUUAGAUACCCUGGUAGUCCACGCCGUAAACGAUGAGUGCUAAGUGUUAGAGGGUUUCCGCCCUUUACUGCUGCAGCUAACGCAUUAAGCACUCCGCCUGGGGAGUACGGUCGCAAGACUGAAACUCAUAGGAAUUGACGGGGGCCCGCACAAGCUGUGGAGCAUGUGGUUUAAUUCGAAGCAACGCG